rnacentral:rRNA from 1 species
AGGAUGAACGCUGGCGGCGUGCUUAACACAUGCAAGUCGAACGGUGAAGCAGGAGCUUGCUCCUGUGGAUCAGUGGCGAACGGGUGAGUAACACGUGAGAAAUCUGCCCUGGACUCUGGGAUAAGCGUUGGAAACGACGUCUAAUACCGGAUACGAGACGUGAAGGCAUCUUCAACGUCUGGAAAGAACUUCGGUCCAGGAUGAUCUCGCGGCCUAUCAGCUAGUUGGUGAGGUAACGGCCACCAAGGCGACGACGGGUAGCUGGCCUGAGAGGUGACCGGCCACACUGGGACUGAGACACGGCCCAGACUCCUACGGGAGGCAGCAGGUGGGGAAUAGUUGCACAAGUGGGCGCAAGCCUGAUGCAGCAACGCCGCGUGAGGGACGACGGCCUUCGGGUUACGUAACCGUCGUUUAGUAAGGAAGAAGCGAAAGUGACGGUACUGUACAAGAAAACGCGACCGACUAACUACGU